rnacentral:rRNA from 1 species
UGGGGAAUCUUGCACAAUGGGCGAAAGCCUGAUGCAGCAACGCCGCGUGUGGGAUGAAGGCCUUCGGGUUGUAAACCACUGUCAACGGGGAGGAAAUGCAGGGGGGUUAUCCCCUCUGUUUGACCUAUCUGUGGAGGAAGUACGGGCUAAGUUCGUGCCAGCAGCCGCGGUAAUACAGAGGGUGCGAGCGUUAAUCGGAAUUACUGGGCGUAAAGGGUGCGUAGGUGGUUAAAUAAGUUAGGUGUGAAA